rnacentral:lncRNA from 1 species
ACUCUUCGUUGUUGUAUUCCCGCAAAGAGUAGUGUCAUUUGGGCCGGUAUACUGGUCAUAAAAGCUAUAGUUUUGGAUUCGCAUAAAGCACCCGUCAAGAUAUAUACGGCCUCCAUUUCUGGGAAAACACGAGGGAAACACAGUACGUAUUUGAGCAUAGCAUAAGAUGCAAUCUUGUGUAGAGAGAUCACCAUAGCAUUGGGCAAGUCCAUUGAGUUUGUUUGGUUCGAUACCCUCGGAUGUUGUUGAGUUAUGAGAACUUUGCAUAUCGGUGCCAGUUUUCUCCAUUAAACGGAUAAAGUUUUGGGCGAUUAUUGAUGGAUCGGCUGCUAACUCAUCGUCACAGUGCAUGUUAAUGAUUUCUGCUCUGGCAUCCCCAUAUGUUUUGGAUACCAGGAGUGAAAUUAUGAUCACUGUAAUGAAGAUUAUAGUUGUAUGUGUUAAUUUCUUCAUCUUCUGGUACAUCAGACUUGUCUAAAGAGAUGGAAAUGUUGUGUAAAUAUCAGAGUUCAUACCGUUUGCUCACAUAUGAAUCCAGGUCAAAGAGACUGAUUGAUUGA